rnacentral:rRNA from 1 species
CACGUAGGGCGCAAGCGUUGUCCGGAAUUAUUGGGCGUAAAGAGCUCGUAGGCGGUCUGUCGCGUCGGCUGUGAAAACUCGGGGCUCAACCCCGAGCCUGCAUUCGAUACGGGCAGACUAGAGUUCGGUAGGGGAGACUGGAAUUCCUGGUGUAGCGGUGAAAUGCGCAGAUAUCAGGAGGAACACCGGUGGCGAAGGCGGCUCUCUGGACCGAUACUGACGCUGAGGCGCGAAAGCGUGGGGAGCAAACAGG